CCAGUCAGGAGCAGUAUGCAGAGGGGAAUAUGAGAGGGGCUGCCCCAGGAAAGAAGACAUCUGGUCUGCAACAGAAAAAUGUUGAAGUGAAGACAAAAAAGAACAAACAGAAAACACCCGGAAAUGGAGAUGGUGGCAGUACCAGUGAGACCCCUCAGCCUCCUCUGCAGGAAAGGGCCCAGGUAGAUCCUACUGUUGAAAAUGAGGAAACAUUCAUGAACAGAGUUGAAGCUAAAGUAAAGAUUCCUGAAGAGCUAAAACUGUGGCUUGUUGAUGACUGGGACUUAAUUACCAGGCAAAAACAGCUCUUUUAUCUUCCUGCCAAGAAGAAUGUGGAUUCCAUUCUUGAGGAUUAUGCAAAUUACAAGAAAUCUCGUGGAAACACAGAUAAUAAGGAGUAUGCAGUUAAUGAAGUUGUGGCAGAGAUAAAAGAAUACUUCAACGUAAUGUUGGGCACCCAGCUACUCUACAAAUUUGAGAGACCACAGUAUGCCAAAAUUCUUGCAGAUCAUCCUGAUGCACCCAUGUCCCAGGUGUAUGGAGCACCACAUCUCCUCAGAUUAUUUGUACGAAUUGGAGCAAUGUUGGCCUAUACAUCUCUGGAUGAGAAGAGCCUUGCUUUAUUACUCAAUUAUCUUCACGAUUUCCUAAAGUACCUGGCAAAGAAUUCUGCAACUUUGUUUAGUGCCAGAGAUUAUGAAGUGGCUCCUCCUGAGUACCAUCGGAAAGCUGUGUGAGAGGCACUCUCACUCACUUAUGUUUGGAUCUCCGUAAACAC